AUUGAACGCUGGCGGCAGGCCUAACACAUGCAAGUCGAACGAGUGGCGGACGGGUGAGUAAUGUCUGGGAAACUGCCGGAUGGAGGGGGAUAACUACGGGAAAAGGGAGAUAAUACCGCAUAAGAUCAGAUGUGCACAGAUGGGAUUUGCGAGUAGGUGUGGUAAAGGCUCACCUAGGCGACGAUCCCUAGCGGGUCUGUGAGGCUGACCAGCCACACUGGAACUGAGAUACGGUCCAGACUCCUCCGGGAGGCAGCAGUGGGGAAUAUUGCACAAUGGGCGCAAGCCUGAUGCAGCCAUGCCGCGUGUAUGAAGAAGGCCUUCGGGUUGUAAAGUACUUUCAGCGUGGAGGCGUUACCUACAGAAGAAGCACCGGCUAACUCCGUGCCAGCAGCCGCGGUAAUUC
rnacentral:rRNA from 1 species